rnacentral:rRNA from 1 species
GUUUGAUCAUGGCUCAGAUUGAACGCUGGCGGCAGGCUUAACACAUGCAAGUCGAGGGGUAACAUUGUGCUUGCACAGAUGACGACCGGCGCACGGGUGCGUAACGCGUAUAGAAUCUACCUUUUACAGGGGGAUAGCCUUUAGAAAUGAAGAUUAAUAUCCCAUAGUAUUGAGACUUGGCAUCAAGACUUAAUUAAAGAUUUAUCGGUAAAAGAUGACUAUGCGUCCUAUUAGCUAGAUGGUAAGGUAAUGGCUUACCAUGGCUACGAUAGGUAGGGGUCCUGAGAGGGAGAUCCCCCACACUGGUACUGAGACACGGACCAGACUCCUACGGGAGGCAGCAGUGAGGAAUAUUG